AUUGAACGCUGGCGGCAGGCCUAACACAUGCAAGUCGAGCGGAUGAAGGGAGCUUGCUCCUGGAUUCAGCGGCGGACGGGUGAGUAAUGCCUAGGAAUCUGCCUGGUAGUGGGGGAUAACGUCCGGAAACGGGCGCUAAUACCGCAUACGUCCUGAGGGAGAAAGUGGGGGAUCUUCGGACCUCACGCUAUCAGAUGAGCCUAGGUCGGAUUAGCUAGUUGGUGGGGUAAAGGCCUACCAAGGCGACGAUCCGUAACUGGUCUGAGAGGAUGAUCAGUCACACUGGAACUGAGACACGGUCCAGACUCCUAAGGGAGGCAGCAGUGGGGAAUAUUGGACAGAGGGCGAAAGCCUGAUCCAGCCAUGCCGCGUGUGUGAAGAAGGUCUUCGGAUUGUAAAGCACUUUAAGUUGGGAGGAAGGGCAGUAAGUUAAUACCUUGCUGUUUUGACGUUACCAACAGAAUAAGCACCGGCUAACUUCGUG
rnacentral:rRNA from 1 species